rnacentral:rRNA from 1 species
UACGUAGGGGGCGAGCGUUGUCCGGAAUUAUUGGGCGUAAAGAGCGUGUAGGCGGCUCGGUAAGUCUGCUGUGAAAGUCCAGGGCUCAACCCUGGAAUGCCGGUGGAAACUGUCGAGCUAGAGUCCGGAAGAGGCGAGUGGAACUCCUGGUGUAGCGGUGAAAUGCGCAGAUAUCAGGAAGAACACCAAUGGCGAAGGCAGCUCGCUGGGACGGUACUGACGCUGAGACGCGAAAGCGUGGGGAGCAAACAGG